AGCUGUGUUUCUAGUUAAAAUGUACAGUUAUUGAAAUUAUUUGAAGUCAUUUUACUGUAACUCUACUUCUAUUAAAAUUGAAAUUUUGGUUCUGCAUUUGCUAUGUGAAUUCAAAUGUAAAUCAAAUUCUGGAAUUGAACUGCAAUACAUACUCACUUCAGUUCUAAAUAGUGCAUGACCUUGUGUUUAAAGCAUGGAUUUCCGAGAAAACUUAGACAAAAACAAAACCAUCUCAAAAUGCAGAGAAUAUUAAAAGUCUGUGUUUUUGGUGCAUUUAUUGUUAAAAUGACCAUACUGGUUUUACAAUGUCAAGACAGCAUGAAAUUAAUAUUGACUCUUUUUUUACAGCUUGUGUUUUAUAGCUUCUCUUUUGUGUACAGAUCAUAAUAUCACUGUUUGCCAAAGUCAGUAGAUUUUAUUAACUUCCUCCAGUCUUUAGAGACGAUUUGAUGCACAACCUAAUUAUGGUAAAACAAUGGCGUCCUUAUAAACAGGUAGGGGUGCCGGCACAUCAGGCAACCUAGAUAGAUAUUUAGGGGAGCUUUGUUUCUUGGCUUGCAGCCAUAUCUUGAUGACAUUGUAGCUCUGUCCUCCAAACAGUAUGAUGCAAUGAAAGACAAUCUUCCACACAGCAGUGAGCGGCCCUGCUUUACCUCGCUACCUACAUUAUUCUCAGAGCGUCCUAUGCAAGCGAGUCCCUGUAUUGUGCAGUUGUUCUCUAAAUGCAUAGCACCAGAAGAAUGCACUAAAAUACAAGCGUGUUCACCUGGUGGAACAUGCAGGCUCUGCAGGGCGUAUAGCUGCUAACGCUGCCAAGGCUGGCCACAGUAAAGACUGGCAUCCAUUUACAUCAUGCUUGAGUGAACGGAUACUCAGAUUACAGGAAAUGCAAACACUGGCCUCCGGGCUGGUGCUUUCAGUCUGCUUGUCUUACAUAACCACAAAUUGCUGGACAUUUGCGAGCCGGAGGCUCCAUUGUCUCAGCUCUAUGUUCAUAUUUUAGGGUUGUAAACAGAAACCGAUUGGGGUGAGAUUUCGUAACGUCAGGCUUUGUUUUACGGCACUGGUAUUUUCUCGUGAAGGGGAACUACCUGAAUGUGCAUUAUUUUUGUUGCAUGGUUGCUGUUAACAGGACAAACCUAAAGCUGUGAACUAUAUUUUACUUUAUUUUUAGAUAACUCUAUCUAACAACUAUAUUGUUCAUUAUCAUGACAUGAAAAAAAAAAAAGUUUGUCCACAUCAAUGUACUCUUUGCCACAACUUAUAUAUGACAAAGCAUUUCUUUGCUGUUUUACGAUGCAUUUUUUGGCACACACAAUUUUAUUGCGGAUAUUUACUGCUAAGUUGCUCAUUUUAGCGUACGGGUAAUUUCACUGAUCAAAAUAAAAUAAAAUAAUAUAAAAUAAAAUCUCCAUAUAGCAUUUAUGUCUUCUCUUUUUUUUUGUAGUAUUUAAAAACUGUUCAGCACUAUUUAUUUUUGAUUCAGUCAUGUAAAUAAAAUAGUAUUUAUUCUUAUAACAUUUAUUAAUUUUUAUAAAAAGUCAUAUUUAAUAAUAUCAAAUUAAAUAUUACAUAUUAGUAGUAGUAGUAUAAUUUUAUACUUUUUUGGUAUAUUUAUUAAUUUAUUGUUUUUCGUUUUUGCUAUUUACAGACAGGAUUUGCAGUUUAGCUGGAUAAUAUUUUAGCCCGUGUUGGUGAAUUGUAACUGCACCAAAAAGCAUCUUUAAUGGCUUUUUAAAAAGCCAUUUUUAGUUCCCCAAUCAUUCUGAAAAUGUUAGUUUUUAGUUGUAAAAUAAACCCUAAAAUAGCCAUUAGAAAAUACUGUGUAUAAAAACCCUUUUUGCAACCUUCAAGGUUAGUUUUUGGUUACUAAACUCGAUUGUUGUCGUUUGGCUCCCCCCAAAAAUAGCAAAAUGAGAACCAUAUGCUAACAUUAGGAGUAUGUUGUUGUUGUUUUUUUUUUGCUGGAAUGUAGUUUGAUUCUAUCUAUCUAUAGGCUAUAUACUGUAUUUUGCCAUGUACAUAUACAUCACUAUCUUUCAUUAUAUAAUAUUACAUGUUUUAUCAAGGAGCAAUUUUUUCAAUAUUAUUUUUAAUUUAUUUUUUGCAGGCUCUUAUUUUUCCCUGUUCAAUUGUCUUUCCUGUCUUUGACGUCAUAUCUCAGUUAGUCACUAGUGAAGAAUUCGGUCCUGUGUGUGGUGUUGUGCUGCCCUCAGUCAAUCAGCGUUGCAUUGACGUCAUCUUGUGAAUCUCUAUGCAUGCACACAUUUCUCUUUGCAUUUCUCUAUUCCCAUGAGCAAUGAUACAAUAUUUUAUAAUGCUUACUUCGAGGGUUCCUGCACUUCCCAAGAGUAUGCUAAAAAAUAGCUUUGAACGGAUUUGUCAUUUUAUACACUGCAUUUAAAAAAUACACUUAAGAUCCUUAUUAUUUCUGUGGCAGGUAAAUAAUGAUAAAUAUUGAUAUAAGUUAAAUUACAUAACCUCAUGUUGAAAAAGCUAUUCAAUGUCGUUGGCUACAGCCUCCGUCCGAGAUGCCUGCAUUAGCAGAUACAUAAAUCAGUCACUUGCAAACAAGGAUUAGAAUAAUCUCAACAUCCACCUCAUAUUUGUUUUCAUUUCUGUAUGCAACAGAUGCGCCACUUAUGCAGUUGCAUAAAGAACAGUCGAACAUCCCUCAACAUUGGUGAAUUUCACUAAUGCCUUCAAACUGCUUAUGAACGCUUAACCAAGCAAAUGGAAUUGUAGAUGUACUGAAGUCAAUUAGGCAUCAAUAACCCCAGCUGAGACUGUUUACCUCGUCUGUGUUACUGUGGAGAGAGCAUUUUCUAGUCCGUUUGAAGUUGCUCUCGACCACAUCUGCAGCAUACUGGCUGAGUCAUACCUGUAGUUGUGUCAACAGCUCUGAAACCUACAGAUUUCAUGAUUUCCUUUACAUUUCUGAGUAAGUCAGCUCAGUCAUUUCAAAUGUGCAAAUAGGUGCAAAUUCAAUGCACUAAGAUGGCCAUCUUUGUGUGUGUUUAUGUGUGUGAGCAUGAGAACAGGCACCCAGAUGGCUCUUGCUUUGCUCAUGAGACUUAAUUGAGUUCUCAUGUUAUGCUGCACUUAAGUGUGUUUUGAUGUUUCUCCUAAGAUCAUUAGUAGAAUUAAUUAGUACAGAUGUUAGCUAGCAACACUCAGGUCAUGGGUUCGUUUCUCAUAGAAUGUAUGAACUAUGAAUAUAUACAGCAUGCUAAAAGUUUAGGGCCGGUGGUAAGACUUAGAGAUUGAAUCUAUUAUGCUUACAAACGCUUCAUUUAUUUGAUCAGAAAAUAAUCAGUAAUAUUAUUACAAUUUAAAAUAACUGAUCUCAAUUUAAAUAUGUUUUAAAAUAUAAUUUAUUCCUGUGAUACGAUGCUGAAUUUUCAGCAUCAUUACUUCAGUCUUCAGUGUCACAUGAUCCUUCAGAAAUCAUUCUGAUAUGCUGAUUUGCUGCUUAAGAAACAUUUGUGAUUAUUAUUAGUGUGCUGUUUCAUAUUUUUGUUAAAAAUGUGAUCAUUUUGUUUUGUAAUUUUGCUUUAAUCGUUAUAAUUUUCAUUAUAAAUGUAUUUACUGUCACUUUUGAUUAAUUUAAUGCAUCCUUGCUGAAUAAAAGCAUUAAAUUCAUUCAGAAAAAAAAAUCCUUUUAACAGAAAUGUACAUUGAAUUAGAAAAAAAUCUUAAAAUGCAUAAUGUAAAUGUAGAACAAAUCAGACAGUUGUUGAUACAGAGUAAGAUUAUAGAGUUAUACAAUGAAUGUUGAUGGCACAGCUAAGAUCAUUUUGAAUGUAUUUGUUAAGAAAUGUUCAUGUUGAGGUCUACAUGCCUUGGUGUCUAGGGGCAGCAGAUCUGAGCAGAGGCCGAGACUUUGUUGAGAUCUCUGAAGCUCUGGGGUCUUUUCCUCAGUAGAAACAUCCGGGAAGCUGGAGAAUUCAUUUAAAAGUCUCUCAGUUUGCUUUGAAUUGAACAUUUUUACAGUCCAGCAGAAACAAUUGAGAUGAAAAUGUUCAUCUCAACCAAACUGAAAAUUUUGUUAUAAACCCUUAUGCUACAGUGAAUAAUGACUUAAAUUUCAUCCCGUUUCUCUAUCACAUGACUUUAGAAGUCUUGUAAUAUAGUGCAUAAGCCGCAUGGACUAUGAUACUUUUAUGGUGCUUUAUUGGCCUUCUUAAGCUUCACUAUAAAUGGUCAUUGUUUAGAAAAGAACAACAUCGUGUUUUUAGGCAUAAAAAGCAACUACACAGGUUUGGAAUGACAGAAGGGUGAGUAAAUAAUGCCAGAAAUGACAUUUUCGGGUCAAUUGUUCCUUUUAAAGAGACCUCAUUUGUGUUUCGUCUUCCCUGCGGGGACGUCCAUGAUGUGAAAACGAGUUAAACGAUACCUGGAUGCGCUCUUCAGAAGCGUCGCUCGUACAUUAAUGAGCACAGCUGGGCGCUGUCAGCCGAGGGCUCUUCCUGCUUUUACUACCUCUUCCUCUCCCGUCUGUUUCUGACUGAGAGGCUGAAAAUGAUCUAAGGGGCAGUGAUGCUUCCAUGGCAACAAUCUGUCACGGCAUAUGUGUGUGUGAUUGUCCUUCCGCUGUGAUGUCCAUUCCCUCAUGUGACGGCUCACACACAAACAAACACAUACAUGCACUUUGCACGUACUUCAACCAUGUUGGCAUGUCCCUAGAGACUGUGAACCAGUGUUAUUUUAUUGUCAUUAUAGUUUUUAUUAAUAACUUUAUUAAUUUAGUUUUCUUUUUCUGCUACAACUUUAGUUAAAGUUAUUUUAUUUGAGAUUCAUUUUUUUUCUACUACAUCAAGCUAAACUAAAUUAAAAUGAGAAAUGUUGCCAUGGCAACUCGUUCUUUUUAAAUUAUUUUAAUUUAGUUAGCAUUUUUUUUUAAAGUCAUAAAAAAAUAUUCUUUAAUGGUUUUAGUUUUAAUUUUAGUUUUUGCUAAAGAAAAGAAAAAAAUCACGUGUCUAGUAAUAGGUGAAAAAUGGUUUGAGUUAUUUUGGUUAAAGGAAUAGUUCACCCAGAAAUGAAAAUAUGCUGAGAAUAUACUCACCCUCUGGCCAUUCAAGAAGUAUAUGAGUUUGUGUCUUCUUUGGAAAAGAUUUUGGCAAAUUUAUCAUUUCAUCAAUUGCUCACCAAUGGAUCCUCUAGUCACUAGUGAAUGGGUGCCAUCAGAAUGAGAAUACAAAUGUGACCCUGGACCACAAAAUCAGUCUUAAGUCGCUGGGGUAUAUUUGUAGCAAUAGCCAAAAAUACAUUGUAUGGGUCAAAAUGAUCGAUUUUACUUUUAUGCCAAAAAUCAUUAGGAUAUUAAAUAAAGAUCAUGUUCCAUGAAGAUAUUUUGUAAAUUUCUUACCGUAAAUGUAUCUCAACUUUAUUUUUGUUUAGUAAUAUGCAUUGCUAAGAACUUCAUUUGGACAAAUUUAAAGGUGAUUUUCUCAAUAUUUAGAUUUUUUUGCAUUUUGAAAAUCAGAUUCCAGAUUUUCAAAUAGUUAUAUCUCAGCCAAAUAUUGUCCGAUCCUAACAAACCAUACAUCAAUGGAAAGCUUAUUUAUUCAACUUUCAGAUGAUGUAUAAAUCUCAAUUUCGAAAAAUUGACACUUAAGACUGGUUUUGUCGUCCAGGGUCACAAAUAGCUGAUAAAAACAUCACAACUGUUAUCCCUGAAAUUGUAUUAACCCAAAUUAAUUAAGUACACUAAACACAAAAAAUACAAUUUUGUAUGUAGCACUGAAUUUUUUGAGUUAGGUGUACGAUUUACAUGAGUUUCCUCACUCUAUUGAAUGUUUUAAGUUGAAUCAACUCAACUAAGCUUAUUUGAGUCUGUUGCCAGGAACGCGACACAAAGAAGCUGAUUGGCUGUUUGAACUGACGCCCCGAGGAUGCGCAUUUCUGUCAGUAUUUGCUGAUUCCAAGAAGAGCUGUGCUGAGCUAAAAUAAGAUGAUGGGAAUGAAAAGAUGGAAAUUGAUGGAACCCCUUCACUUCCAUUUUAUGAAUCACCAAGGACCAUGGAUUCAGUCACCUACAUUUUAAAUGGCCUGAGGACCUCUGACCUCACUGACAUGAAGUGUGUUGCCAUAAGAGGGAUUCCUGUAAUACCUGAUCACCCUCCUUUGAAGAACUUCAUGAAGUUCUUCAAAGCAUGCUUUGCUUCUGAUGAGUCACACCAAAACGUUCCAGUUGGAAUCCGCGAAAAAGCUGCAUCACGAUGUUUUUAACUUUAAACCGUAGCUUUUGGCCAAAAUAUAGUCCAUAAUCCACAAUAACGCUUCCUCCAGUGAAAAAGUCCACCCUCUGUUUUGUACUGUUUUUGCUUGUAAACAGUGCUUGAUCUGUGCAUAUUUCUCUCCUGAUUCAGACAAGAUUACAUUUUCAGUGGACAAAAGCAAUGUAUGCAGGAUCUAUAUUUUGGCUGGAGCAACGGUUUAAAGCUGAAAUGCAUUAAUGAUGGAUAUAUUUCUUAUUUGUUGAUUAUUGUGAUGUUUUUAUCAGUUGUUUGGACUCUCAUUCUGACGGCACCCAUUCACUGCAGAGGAUCCAUUGCUGAGCAAGUGAUGUAAUGCUCAAUUUCUCCAAAUCUGUUCAGAUGAGAAACAAACUCAUUUACAUCUUGGAUGGCCUGAGGUGGAGUAAAUUUUUGGGUUAACUAUUCCUUUUACCAUAAUAACCAUGCCAUGCGCUAAGCGUUUUUCACCCCCAUUAGGCCUACUAGACGUGUGAUUGCUCAUACUACUCGCUGAUACCGGCACACAUAGAUAAAGAGAAAUGAUAACCACAGCUCGGCAUGCGGGUCACCCUUUUGUUCCCCUACCUCACGGUCAAUCACGAUAAUACCAUUCAGUAAGGCGACAGUAAUGCAGCCCAUAUGCAAAACCUGCCACCGGUAUGCUAAACAGGAUUUACAAGCCCGAUAUUGAUGCAGCCUAAUUUCUGAAGCGGAGCACAGGAAGUGUUGUCAGUUCAGAUUUAGCCGUGUUACCCGAGGAUAUUCAACAACUUCUCUAAAAAGUAUAUCAUAAUGACUUUCUUUUCUAGUUGCCGCACUUUGGUACGCGUCUGCUCUGCUGGCGUUGUAGCAAUUACUCUCCGAACGGCUCGGAUAUCAGCCGCCAUCCAUCAUUGGGUUAACGCUUUUCGCCGUGUUGGUAAUGAUCGUUCUCUGCAGGAUUAUGCUGUUUCUGCACCUAUCUAAUUAGGUCUUCUCUCUGAUAGCGAUGUGUCUCGUUGAAAAUGGGGCUGUUUUGUAUUAAAAUAUGAUUGAUUGCCUGGUUUGCUUGCUGUGCAUCCUCGGGAGCCGAUGUAGCGGAGGCAUCAACCUCGAUGAGUCAUGAGUAAAUGACAGACUGCUUGUUCUGUUCCCUUCAGUUCCACAAACACGGCAACACAAUGGUCCACGAGACACACACAGACCAGAGCUGAGAUCCAUUUAGAGCUGAAAGAGAAAGAUUUGACACAACAGUAAUGGAACGUUGUGAAUCAGCGUGCAUGGAGAUGGAGGUUUAUUUUUCUUCUUUGUUUCUUUCUCUGGCACUUUUUCAGUCAAGGAUCAGUGAAUGGAGGUGCUUAACCUUCAGAAAAUGUUGAUCGUCUAUCUUGGGAGGUCAAGCUAAAUAUUAUAUGAGCUGUUUUGUUGCAUCUAUAUUAUAUGAGGCUUGCAAACUUUUGCAACACCGCAGUUUGGGACUUGUCAGAAUAUAGUUUAAAACCCUGUUUUUUCUAUAAUUUGAUUUAAAAUAUUAGUGUUUUAUUUUACUUUUUUUUUCAUUAUUAAUGGGUAGGCCCUAGUAGGGUUGCAGGUUUAGCAGAGGCAGGCCAAGUGUUGUAUUGUAGUUAUUGCAACACACAAUUUUUACAUAUUAAUUGUAUUUUCUUUUGCCGUUUUUUUGGUUUAUAUUUUUAAAUUGUGCAAUCAAUCAAUAAUCAGUCUAAAUGAUUAACCUCUGAUUAAUUUUUAUCAGUUUUUAUGUAUAUUAACAGUACUCUUGCUAGUUUUGUUGUCUGUAUUUUAAGAUAUGUGCAAUAAAUAAAUAAAUAAAUAAAUACAAAAAUAACAACACUGAAUGGUAAAGUUCAUUUAAUUGUCUCCAGUCUUACAUGUAUUAAUUGUACCUUUUUGCCAUUUUAAAUCACGCAAUAAAUA